GCCUCGGAAGUGUAAUGGAUCAGUACGGCAGACUCGAUAUCUGUAAGUGCGGGUUCGAGUCCCACCUGAGGAC
rnacentral:tRNA from 1 species